GGAAACAGUGGCUAAUACCUCAUGUGGCACGGUUAACGUUGGUUGACCGUGUUAAAGACUUCGGUCGCUAAGAGAGCAGCCCGCCCCCGAUUAGCUUGUUGGUAGGGUAACGGCCUACCAAGGCUCCGAUCGGUAGGUGGCCUGAGAGGGUGGUCACUCACACUGGGACUGAGAUACGGCCCAGACUCCUACGGGGGGCAGCAGUCUAGAAGCUUCCACAAUGGACGAAAGUCUGAUGGAGCGACGCCGCGUGUGGGAUGACAGCCGUGAGGUUGUAAACCACUGUCAGCAGGGAAGAAUGCCUUGAUGGUGAAUCAGGGAGAGACGGUACCUGCAGAGGAAGCCCCGGCUAACUCCGUGCCAGCAGCCGCGGUAAUACGGAGGGGGCAAACGUUGUUCGGAUUUACUGGGCGUAAAGGGUGUCUAGGCGGUUCGAUUAGUCUGGUGUGAAAUAUCCUCGCUCAACGAGGAAAACGCAUUGGAAACUGUCGAGCUCGAGAGUGGAAGAGGCAGGUGGAAUUUCCGGUGUAGCGGUGGAAUGCGUAGAUAUCAGAAAGAACACUCGUGGCGAAGGCGGCCUGCCGGUCCAUUUCUGACGCUGAAGCCACGAAAGCUAGGGGAGCGAACGGGAUUAGAUACCCCGGUAGUCCUAGCCGUAAACGUUGAACACUGGAUGUCGGGGGUAUCGACCCCCUCGGUGUCGGAGCUAACGCGUUAAGUGUUCCGCCUGGGGAGUACGACCGCAAGGUUGAAACUCAAAGGAAUUGACGGGGGCCCGCACAAGCGGUGGAGGAUGUGGUUUAAUUCGACGCAACGCGAAGAACCUUACCUGGGCUUAAACCGCAGGGUAAACCCUCUGAAAGGAGGGCUGCUUCGGCAAUCCUGUAGAGGUGCUGCAUGGCUGUCGUCAGCUCGUGUCGUGAGAUGUUGGGUUAAGUCCCGCAACGAGCGCAACCCUUGCUCUUAGUUACCAGCGCGUAAUGGCGGGGACUCUAAGAGGACUGCCCUCGCAAGGGGGAGGAAGGUGGGGAUGACGUCAAGUCCUCAUGGCCCUUAUGUCCAGGGCUACACACGUCCUACAAUGGCCGGUACAAAGGGCAGCCAGCUCGCGAGAGUUAGCAAAUCCCAAAAAGCCGGUCCCAGUUCGGAUUGCAGUCUGCAACUCGACUGCAUGAAGGUGGAAUCGCUAGUAAUCGUGGAUC
rnacentral:rRNA from 1 species